rnacentral:rRNA from 1 species
AGAUUGAACGCUGGCGGCAUGCCUUACACAUGCAAGUCGAACGGCAGCGCGGGGCAACCUGGCGGCGAGUGGCGAACGGGUGAGUAAUAUAUCGGAACGUACCCUGGAGUGGGGGAUAACGUAGCGAAAGUUACGCUAAUACCGCAUACGAUCUAAGGAUGAAAGUGGGGGAUUCGCAAGAACCUCAUGCUCCUGGAGCGGCCGAUAUCUGAUUAGCUAGUUGGUAGGGGUAAAGGGCCUACCAAGGCAUCGAUCAGUAGCUGGUCUGAGAGGACGACCAGCCACACUGGAACUGAGACACGGUCCAGACUCCUACGGGAGGCAGCAGGUGGGAAGUUUUGGACAAUGGGACGGAAAGCCGUGAUCCAGCAAUGCCGCGUGAGUGAAGAAGGUCCGUUACGGUUGUAAAGUCCUUCGUUUU